UGGGGAAUAUUGGACAAUGGGGGGAACCCUGAUCCAGCCAUGCCGCGUGUGUGAAGAAGGCCUUAUGGUUGUAAAGCACUUUAAGCGAGGAGGAGGCUACUCUAGUUAAUACCUAGGGAUAGUGGACGUUACUCGCAGAAUAAGCACCGGCUAACUCUGUG
rnacentral:rRNA from 1 species